CUCCAAGCAAGCAAAGGAUAUGCAUAGUGAAGGGCAUAGCGGCGAUACAUCUUCUCCUGAUGAGGCCCAAGAGCACAUGGCAUUUCUGUCAGGGAAAAGAAGUACAGAGAUGAAUGCUCAGCUAGCAAGAUGGGUAGCUGUUUUUCUUUGCAUUGCAGGAGGUUCAGAUGCAGAUAUCACCCAACCACGGAUCAUGGUGUUGGAGGAAGGUCAGGAUGCUAGGAUGGAAUGCACGCAAAACAAUGGGCAUUACAGCAUGUUUUGGUUUCAGCAGCAUAAACAGCAGCAGGAUCUCCACCUCCUGUAUAAUUUCUAUAACGGUAACAUCCAACAGAAGGACUCAUCUUUGCACCGUCUAAAUGCUGAUCAGCCCGAGAAGGGUCGCUCUUAUCUGAGUAUAUCAGGUGUGAAACCAGAGGAUUCAGCAGUGUACUUCUGUGCAAGCAGUGAAGCCACAGCACUUCAAAGUACUGUCUUCUUCCUUUAAAAAUCUUCUCCAUUUUUCUUUGUCUGUGAACUUCUUGCAGUUACAAAGAAACCUUGGGCUCCUCAGCCAGACUCAGCUACCUAAUGAUAUCAACUAAACUGAUAAACUGAACUCAAGCAAUUUGAAGGCUGGAUGGUCACAUGCAUGAUUUUAAGGGACUGGAGAUCCUAUAAUGGAUAGGAGGUCAUUGCUUAUGUAGCCAAAUGGAAUUGUGUUACAAACUGAGGAAAAGCAAAGUGAGUUUGGAGAUAUAUCAUAAGAGCAACUGGGAAUAUAUCUUCAAAAGGGUGCUCCUUUGAAGAUUGCUAAGAAAUUUCCUUCUUCCCUGAGAUAGUUAAGGGCAGUAAAAGACAAGGUAGCUGCAAGUUAAGUAGGGUAUCAGAUCUUGGAAGCAGAAAUCCAGACAAUCACUAGAUGGCAGCAAAGAGAAAGUGAAGCUAACUCUUUGCUGCCAUCUUGUGGUCUUGUUUUAAAUUCUGUAUCUCUAAAGCAGAAAUCAUUUAUGUUAUAUAUAUGUUCAUGCAGUAUUGUAGUUAAACAAAGAUGCCAUUGUUUCUAAACAGCUAGUCCUCGGAUUAAACCGAAGCAGACUAUAAUAAUUCUUCCCACCACAAGAUACCACAGCAAAAGAAUGUACAAGAAAGGAAAUAAAACCAGGAUGAGAAUGGUUAAGGGUCUCAUUUUGGGGGUGAAGCCACCUAUCACCAGCUUACAAGAAAUUAUGCUACUUCUGACCAAAUAAAUUCAGUUUUGCCAUACUGCCUUCUCAUAACCUUUGGAAAAAUCUCAAUCUCAACUGAUACUGUGUAUCAACUGUAUAUGUGUCCUACAUUUUUUCUUCCUAAAUGUAAUACCUUAUAUGCCUUCCUGUUCAAGGGCAUCUUAUUUCUCUCAGCCCAA